rnacentral:rRNA from 1 species
UGGGGAAUAUUGGGCAAUGGGCGGGAGCCUGAACCAGCCAAGCCGCGUGAGGGAGGAAGGCCCUAUGGGUCGUAAACCUCUUUUGUCAGGGAACAAAAGCGAGUAUGUAUACUAGUCUGAGUGUACCUGAAGAAAAAGCAUCGGCUAACUCCGUGCCAGCAGCCGCGGUAAUACGGAGGAUGCGAGCGUUAUCCGGAUUUAUUGGGUUUAAAGGGUGCGUAGGCGGCGGUGCAAGUCAGCGGUAAAAGCCCGGGGCUCAACCCCGGCGAGCCGUUGAAACUGCAGUGCUAGAGAAGGCGAGAGGUACGCGGAAUGCGCAGUGUAGCGGUGAAAUGCUUAGAUAUUGCGCAGAACUCCGAUUGCGAAGGCAGCGUACUGGCGCCUGACUGACGCUGAGGCACGAAAGCGUGGGGAUCGAACAGGAUUAGAUACC